CCUACGGGAGGCAGCAGCAAGGAAUAUUGCGCAAUGGGCGAAAGCCUGACGCAGCGACGUCGCGUGGGGGAUGAAGGCCUUCGGGUUGUAAACCCCUUUUCUUAGGGAAGAAUAAUGACGGUACCUGAGGAAUAAGUCUCGGCUAACUACGUGCCAGCAGCCGCGGUAAUACGUAGGAGACAAGCGUUAUCCGGAUUUAUUGGGCGUAAAGCGGACGCAGGCGGUCUUUCAAGUCGGAUGUAAAAUCUCCCGGCUCAACUGGGAGGGACCGUCCGAUACUGUGAGGCUAGAGUGCAGCAGAGGAAAGCGGAAUUCCCGGUGUAGUGGUGAAAUACGUAGAUAUCGGGAGGAACACCAGUGGCGAAGGCGGCUUUCUGGGCUGUUACUGACGCUGAGGUCCGAAAGCGUGGGGAGCAAACAGGAUUAGAUACCCUGGUAGUCCACGCCUUAAACAUUGGACACUAGGUAUGGGGGGUAUCGACCCUCUCUGUGCCGAAGCUAACGCUUUAAGUGUCCCGCCUGGGGACUACGGCCGCAAGGCUAAAACUUAAAGGAAUUGACGG
rnacentral:rRNA from 1 species